AGUAACACGUAGGUAACCUGCCCAUGUGUCCGGGAUAACUGCUGGAAACGGUAGCUAAAACCGGAUAGGUAUACAGAGCGCAUGCUCAGUAUAUUAAAGCGCCCUUCAAGGCGUGAACAUGGAUGGACCUGCGGCGCAUUAGCUAGUUGGUGAGGUAACGGCCCACCAAGGCGAUGAUGCGUAGCCGGCCUGAGAGGGUAAACGGCCACAUUGGGACUGAGACACGGCCCAA
rnacentral:rRNA from 1 species